CCUACGGGAGGCUGCAGUGAGGAAUAUUGGUCAAUGGCCGGAAGGCUGAACCAGCCAUGCCGCGUGAAGGUCAGUGCCCUAUGGGCGUUAAACUUCUUUUGUGCGGGAGCAAUAAUGGUCACGUGUGGCCAGACGAGAGUACCGUACGAAUAAGCAUCGGCUAACUCCGUGCCAGCAGCCGCGGUAAUACGGGGGAUGCAAGCGUUAUCCGGAUUUAUUGGGUUUAAAGGGUGCGUAGGCUGGGAGGUAAGUCAGCGGGGAAAUGCCCCCGCUCAACGGGGUGAAGUGCCAUUGAUACUGCCUUGCUGGAAUGCGGAUGCCGUGGGAGGAAUGUGUGGUGUAGCGGUGAGAUGCAUAGAUAUCACACAGAACACCGAUUGCGAAGGCAUCUCACGAAUCCGCGAUUGACGCUGAUGCACGAAAGCGUGGGUAUCAAACAGGAUUAGAUACCCUAGUAGUC
rnacentral:rRNA from 1 species